ensembl:lncRNA
GAAGAGUUCCCCUUCUGCAGCCCCAUGUGCUGCUGCAGUGUGGUGUAAUGCUGAGGCACAGCCAUUUGCAGGCAUCUCUGAGCUUUUUUUUUUUUUUGGCUCUGUCUCUGUGGAGCUUUCAUGUGGCUGUUACCCUCCCUCCUUCAUGUGGGACUGUGGGCUCUCCUAAGCUUUUUGUUCCAGCUGGUCAGCUAGCAGCUGUCACUUGCUGGGGAUGGCAGGCUGGUGGAUUGAAGUCCCCAGCUGUGGACCCUGCCGUGGCUCCCUGUGGUACAGAGCUGGGAGGCUCAGCACUGCUCUGCAGCCCCUCUUGGCCAGCUGGCUCCAGCUCCACCAGCAUGCCUGCAGGCUGGGGCCAUCCUUGUUUCUCCAGGAGUACAUCAGCAUUUGCUCAGGACUGUAGAAGAGCUGGAGAGUGCGAGAGUGACAUCAGUAAUUCAUGAAUUAUCCUCCUGAGAAACAUUAUCCUUCCCAGGCAUCAUGCAGGUGACAGUAAAGUCCCCUGAUUUCUUACUCCAUGAAGAGUCACUAGAGCCUUUCUUCUGAAAAGAAAACCUACCAGCAAAGUCAUAGCCCUGCUGAAAAGGAGCAGGAGGGGGUUGUGGUGGACUCAUGUAAACACGAGCUCACAGUGUGUUCUCUUUUAUACUGGUGAAAACCACAUCCUUGGCUAUAUCAGGAGCAUGGCUGGCUUGUUGUCCUUUUCUGUUUGGUGCUGGUGAGUCCACACCAGAACCAGUGCUCGCCUUUUGGGACUCUCAUGUCAACAGGACAUUGAUAAACUGGGCAGGGUCUGGUGGAGGGCUAUCAGCAUGGCCAGGACCUGCUUCCUACAGCCUGAGAAGGAGAUGGACUUAUUCAGUCUGGCAAAGGUGAAGCAAAGGGAUGUCCUUAUGACAGGAGCUGCACACAACUGAGACCUUCCCUUCAUCUCCCUGGGAGGCUGCAGCCAGUUCAUCAAAGGGUAGUGAUCCAAGUCUCUGUCAUCUUCAGGAAUCAUUGCAGUGUGUUCACCCUUGGCUAAGCUUGAAGGAGCCCUGAAAGUUGCAGCUCAGGCAAGAGAUGAUUGUGCGCUUCUCUGUGCGGCUUCCACUGAACCUGUGAUGCAUUCAGGAGCACCAACCUCCUUCAGGAGCCUCAAUGCAGCUCAAGAUGGUAUUCUCAAAUGGGAACUGCCUUUCUGGGUUGCCUCGUGUGACACGGAGAGCUUCCCUCUGCUUGGAGUCCUCCGUGGCACUUCAGAUCAGUGACAGUGUCAGAUCACUGGCUGCAGUCUUUGCAUAGCUUCCCUCUUGACCCAGCUUGCUGUAUUCCAGGUUUUUUCACUUUCAGUGUUCUGGUAAAAAAAAAACUGUUCAUUCAGCCAUUCAGCCUGCACAAGCAAUAUGGAGUAGGGAGGAGGUUUUUUGGUUUUGUUUUUGUUUUUUCUUCUUUUUUUGGUGUGUGUAUGUGUGUG